GCGUCCCAUUAGCUAGUUGGUGAGGUAACGGCUCACCAAGGCAUCGAUGGGUAGGGGCUCUGAGAGGAUUGUCCCCCACACUGGUACUGAGACACGGACCAGACUCCUACGGGAGGCAGCAGUAAGGAAUAUUGGGCAAUGGACGCAAGUCUGACCCAGCCAUGCCGCGUGAAGGAAGACGGCCCUAUGGGUUGUAAACUUCUUUUCUCAGGGGGUAAACUCUGGAACGUGUUCCGGACUGAAAGUACCUGAGGAAUAAGCAUCGGCUAACUCCGUGCCAGCAGCCGCGGUAAUACGGAGGAUGCGAGCGUUAUCCGGAUUCAUUGGGUUUAAAGGGUGCGCAGGCGGAUAUAUAAGUCGGAGGUGAAAUUCUGAUGCUCAACAUCAGCCGUGCCUUCGAUACUGUAUAUCUAGAGUCAAGUUGGAGUAGGCGGAAUGUGUUGUGUAGCGGUGAAAUGCUUAGAUAUAACACAGAACACCGAUCGCGAAGGCAGCUUACUAAACUUUGACUGACGCUCAUGCACGAAAGCGUGGGGAUCAAACAGGAUUAGAUACCCUGGUAGUCCACGCUGUAAACUAUGAUUACUCGCUGUUGGCGAUACACAGUCAGUGGCUAAGCGAAAGUGAUAA
rnacentral:rRNA from 1 species